UCCCUGAUGGCCAGUGGUUAGGACUUGGUGCUUUCACUGCCGUGGUCCCAGGUUCAAUCCCUGGUCAGGGAA
rnacentral:tRNA from 1 species